GAUAGUCACUUACUCAUGGAUAACCGUGGUAAUUCUAGAGCUAAUACAUGCGUACGGACCCGACUUCUGGAAGGGUUGUAUUUAUUAGAUACAAAACCAACAUUUUUGGUGAAUCAAAAUAACUUUGCGAAUCGUAUGACCUUGCGUCGACGAUGAAUCAUUCAAAUUUCUGCCCUAUCAACUUUCGAUGGUAAGGUAUUGGCUUACCAUGGUUACAACGGGUAACGGGGAAUUAGGGUUCGAUUCCGGAGAGGGAGCCUGAGAAACGGCUACCACUUCCAAGGAAGGCAGCAGGCGCGCAAAUUACCCAAUCCUGACACAGGGAGGUAGUGACAAUAAAUAACAAUACAGAGCCCUUUCGGGUUUUGUAAUUGGAAUGAGAGCAACCUAAACUACUCAUCGAGUAACAAUUGGAGGGCAAGUCUGGUGCCAGCAGCCGCGGUAAUUCCAGCUCCAAUAGCGUAUAUUAAAGUUGUUGCAGUUAAAAAGCUCGUAGUUGGAUGUCUGGCUUUGUGUGGCGGUCCACCGCAAGGUGAGCACUGCUGCGUGGAGUCUUCCUCUCGAAUGCUGCGUGUGCUCUUAACUGAGUGUGCGUGGGGUUUGGGAUCUUUACUUUGAAAAAAUUAGAGUGUUCAAAGCAGGCGAUUGCUUGAAUAUAUUAGCAUGGAAUAAUGGAAUAGGACUUGGGUUCUAUUUUGUUGGUUUCUAGGACCGAGGUAAUGAUUAAUAGGGGUAGUUGGGGGCAUUCGUAUUUAAUUGUCAGAGGUGACAUUCUUGGAUUUAUGAAAGACGAACUUCUGCGAAAGCAUUUGCCCAAGAUGUUUUCAUUAUCAGAACGAAAGUAGGGGAUCGAGACGAUCAGAUACCGUCGUAGUCCUACCAUAAACCUAUGCCGACUAGGAAUGGUGGAUGUUUCAUGACUCCAUCAGCCACUAAUGAGAAUCCAGUUUUGGUUCCGGGCGAGCUAUGUCGCAGCUGACCUAAUGGAUGACCGAAGGCUACACAGGACUGACUUGCG
rnacentral:rRNA from 1 species